rnacentral:rRNA from 1 species
UACAGAGGGUGCGAGCGUUGUCCGGAAUCACUGGGCGUAAAGGGCGCGUAGGUGGCGCUCCAAGUCCGUGGUGAAAGCUCGAUGCUCAACAUCGAGUCGGCCACGGAGACUGGAGGGCUCGAGCACUGUAGGGCAGAUGGAAUUCCGGGUGUAGCGGUGGAAUGCGUAGAGAUCCGGAAGAACACCGGUGGCGAAGGCGGU